UACGGAGGGUGCGAGGGUUUUCCGGAAUCACUGGGUUUAAAGGGUGCGUAGGCGGCUCGGUAAGUCAGUUGUGAAAGCCCAUUGCUUAACGAGGGAGGUGCGAUUGAUACUGUCGAGCUUGAAUCGGGAUGAGGCAGGCGGAAUGUGGCAUUUAGCGGUGAAAUGCAUAGAUAUGCCAUAGAAAGCCGAUUGCGCAGGCAGCCUGCUGGGACUGUAUUGACGCUGAGGCACGAAAGCGUGGGGAGCAAACAGG
rnacentral:rRNA from 1 species